rnacentral:rRNA from 1 species
AACGUAGGCGGUGUUCCAUGUCAGAGGUGAAAGCCUGGGGCUCAACUCCAGAAUUGCCUUUGAAACGGGAACGCUUGAGUCCGAGAGAGGAUGGCGGAAUUCCUAGUGUAGAGGUGAAAUUCGUAGAUAUUAGGAAGAACACCAGUGGCGAAGGCGGCCAUCUGGCUCGGUACUGACGCUCAGGUUCGAAAGCGUGGGGAGCAAACA